AUAAGAAGCAGACAAAUAACAAGACAGACGUCCAGAGUUCAGGAGCUGUUGGAUCUGAUCCAGUAGAGAACGAUCCUUCAGUUCAUUCAGACAGUGGAUCAGA